AGAAGAUUAGGUUAAUGGCAGACCAAUAGCCUUCAAAGUUUUGAGCGUUGGUUCGAUUCCAACAUCUUCUG
rnacentral:tRNA from 2 species